rnacentral:rRNA from 1 species
CUACAGGGGUAUCUAAUCCUGUUUGCUCCCCACGCUUUCGUACCUCAGUGUCAGUAAUGGGCCAGGAAGCCGCCUUCGCCACUGGUGUUCCUUCCGAUAUCUACGCAUUUCACCGCUACACCGGAAAUUCCGCUUCCCUCUCCCUUACUCUAGCCAGACAGUUUCGGAUGCAGUUCCCAGGUUAAGCCCAGGGCUUUCACAUUCGACUUAUCAAGCCACCUACGUACGCUUUACGCCCAGUAAUUCCGAUUAACGCUCGCACCCUCCGUAUUACCGCGGCUGCUGGCAC